rnacentral:rRNA from 1 species
UACGGAGGGUGCAAGCGUUAUCCGGAUUUACUGGGUUUAAAGGGUGUGUAGGCGGGCUUUUAAGUCAGCGGUGAAAUCUCCGGGCUCAACCUGGAAACUGCCAUUGAUACUAUUAGUCUUGAAUUUUGUUGAGGUAGGCGGAAUAAGUCAUGUAGCGGUGAAAUGCAUAGAUAUGACUUAGAACACCAAUUGCGAAGGCAGCUUGCUAAACAAAUAUUGACGCUGAGGCACGAAAGCGUGGGGAUCAAACAGG